rnacentral:rRNA from 1 species
GCAAAACUGCGAAUGGCUCAUUAAAUCAGUUAUCGUUUAUUUGAUAGUACCUUACUACACGGAUAUCUGUGGUAAUUCUAGAGUUAAUACGUGCUAAAAACCCCGACUUCGGGAGGGGUGUAUUUAUUAGACUAAAAACCAACGCCCUCCGGGGCUCCUUGGUGAUUCAUAAUAACUCAACGAAUCGCAUGGCCUUGAGCCGGCGAUGGUUCAUUCAAAUUUCUGCCCUAUCAACUUUCGAUGCUAGGGUAGUGGCCUAGCAUGGUGACAACGGGUAACGGGGGAUUAGGGUUCUAUUCCGGAGAGGGAGCCCGAGAAACGGCUACCACAUCCAAGGAAGGCAGCAGGCGCGCAAAUUACCCAAUCCCGACACGGGGAGGUAGUGACAAUAAAUACUGAUACAGGGCUCUUUUGGGUCUUGUAAUUGGAAUGAGUACGAUUUAAACACCCUAACGAGGAACAAUUGGAGGGCAAGUCUGGUGCCAGCAGCCGCGGUAAUUCCAGCUCCAAUAGCGUAUAUUAAAGUUGUUGCAGUUAAAACGCUCGUCGUUGAACCUUGGGCCUGGGCGAUCGGUCCCCCUCACCGGGAGCACUGGUUCGGCCGGGCCUUUCCUUCUGGGGAUCCGCAUGCCCUUCGCUGGGCGUGCCGGGGAACCAGGACUUUUACUUUGAAAAAAUUAGAGUGUUCAAAGCAGGCCUUUGCUCGAAUACCUUAGCAUGGAAUAAUAGAAUAGGACGUGCGGUCCUAUUUUGUUGGUUUCUAGGACCGCCGUAAUGAUUAAUAGGGUCAGUCGGGGGCAUCAGUAUUCAAUUGUCAGAGGUGAAAUUCUUAGAUUUAUUGAAGACUAACUACUGCGAAAGCAUUUGCCAAGGAUGUUUUCAUUAAUCAGUGAACGAAAGUUAGGGGAUCGAAGACGAUCACGGGCUACGCCGGCCCGCCUGAGCGGGCCGGGUGGAACCUACCAUCUGGUCGUCGACAGCCUCGUGGGGAGGCUAGUCUUCCGGCGGCCUCGCAGCAGCGAGCGCCGGCCGGCAAGGCAACAUCGUCAAAUUGCGGGAACCCCUUCUCGAGUCUGCGACCCCAAGCAGGUGUGGAAACCCACCUGCGGCCUGUGGAGAGAGUCCCAGGGUACGGGAAGAGCGCGCAGCCUUGUCGCCUGAGGGCCGAGGAAGCUGCUCCGGCAGCGGUCUCGGAGGGAAAGGCGACUGGAGGAAAUCCGCAGCCAAGUCCUUCCGCCCUCCUGCGCGAGGGCGAUGGAUGCAGUUCACAGGCCAUAUGUUGAUGGGUAAGGAGCCGCCGCGCCCUUAUUUAAGAUAUGGUCGGACCGGGAACGCGAGAGCGCCGGAACACCGGUAAACGCAGAUACCGUCGUAGUCCUAACCAUAAACUAUGCCGACUAGGGAUCGGGGUAUACUCAUUUUUGGUUGCCUCGGCACCUUACGAGAA